GAAACACUUUGGUUACCUACACAGGGAACCUUACAACACAAAGUUCCAUUCCAAAUUCUGUCACUGAAGAGCAUUGUGACCUUGGACAAGUGACUUAUCUUCUCUGUGUCUCAGUUUUCCUAUGUGUACAAUGGGAAUAACAACACUUCUUGUUUUCAAAAGUGCUUUGGGAUCCAUGGCUCAAAAGGCUUCAUCAUUAGCUAUUUACUGGCUGCACUGCUCUCAUUCUGAGACUGCUACACACGUAGUCCUUGGCAAGAGCUGGAAGACUUGGGAAGUUGGGGCAGAAAGAAGUGGGUGUACCAACUCAUUCCAGAUCCCACCAACAUGUGAAGAUAGUCCUUCUCCUCCUGACUCUUAGCUUUUAAAGAGACAAGGACAAAACUCCAGCAGCAGCAGCAGCAAGUGCAAGACAUACAAGUCAGAAGCAGCAGGACUCUUGGCAGGGAAGGAGAAGAUGACGCCCUGAUUGCAUUUGAUCUGGUUGAACCAGGCCAGAAGCAGAGUUGGUGGUCUGGGUA